rnacentral:rRNA from 1 species
CCGGAGAAUGUUAUCACGGGAGACACACGGCGGGUGCUAACGUCCGUCGUGAAGAGGGAAACAACCCAGACCGCCAGCUAAGGUCCCAAAGUCAUGGUUAAGUGGGAAACGAUGUGGGAAGGCCCAGACAGCCAGGAUGUUGGCUUAGAAGCAGCCAUCAUUUAAAGAAAGCGUAAUAGCUCACUGGUCGAGUCGGCCUGCGCGGAAGAUGUAACGGGGCUAAACCAUGCACCGAAGCUGCGGCAGCGAACGUAUCACUUAAAGCGAUUCAGCGGGUUACGAUUGACGGAGCGAAGCGACGUCAAAGCGUAUACAAAGUCGAGUCGGUUUAAGGAUACGUUCGUUGGGUAGGGGAGCGUUCUGUAAGCCUGYGAAGGUGKSYYGUGAGGSWUGCUGGAGGUAUCAGAAGUGCGAAUGCUGACAUAAGUAACGAUAAAGCGGGUGAAAAGCCCGCUCGCCGGAAGACCAAGGGUUCCUGUCCAACGUUAAUCGGGGCAGGGUGAGUCGACCCCUAAGGCGAGGCCGAAAGGCGUAGUCGAUGGGAAACGGGUUAAUAUUCCCGUACUUGGUGUUACUGCGAAGGGGGGACGGAGAAGGCUAUGUUGGCCGGGCGACGGUUGUCCCGGUUUAAGCGUGUAGG